rnacentral:rRNA from 1 species
CAGCCGCCGCGGUAAUACGAGGGGAGCUAGCGUUAUUCGGAAUUACUGGGCGUAAAGCGCACGUAGGCGGCUUUGUAAGUUAGAGGUGAAAGCCCAGAGCUCAACUCUGGAAUUGCCUUUAAGACUGCAUCGCUUGAAUCCAGGAGAGGUGAGUGGAAUUCCGAGUGUAGAGGUGAAAUUCGUAGAUAUUCGGAAGAACACCAGUGGCGAAGACGGCUCACUGGACUGGUAUUGACGCUGAGGUGCGAAAGCGUGGGGAGCAAACAGGAUUAGAUACCCCCGUAGUCCCUGUCUCUUAUAC